rnacentral:rRNA from 1 species
ACGGGGGGUGCAAGCGUUGUUCGGAAUUAUUGGGCGUAAAGCGCGUGUAGGCGGUUUGUUAAGUCUGAUGUGAAAGCCCCGGGCUCAACCUGGGAAGUGCAUUGGAAACUGGUAGUCUAGAAUGUGGGAGAGGGAGGUGGAAUUUCUGGUGUAGGGGUAAAAUCCGUAGAUAUCAGAAGGAAUACCGAUUGCGAAGGCGAUUGACUGGAACAUUAUUGACGCUGAGAUGCGAAAGCGUGGGUAGCAAACAG